GACGAACGCUGGCGGCGUGCCUAACACAUGCAAGUCGAGCGAGUGGAGUUCUUCGGAACAAAGCUAGCGGCGGACGGGUGAGUGACACGUGGGCAACCUGCCUCAUAGAGGGGAAUAGCCUCCCGAAAGGGAGAUUAAUACCGCAUAAGAUUGUAGAUUCGCAUGAAGUAGCAAUUAAAGGAGCAAUCCGCUAUGAGAUGGGCCCGCGGCGCAUUAGCUAGUUGGUGAGGUAACGGCUCACCAAGGCGACGAUGCGUAGCCGACCUGAGAGGGUGAUCGGCCACAUUGGGACUGAGACACGGCCCAGACUCCUACGGGAGGCAGCAGUGGGGAAUAUUGCACAAUGGGGGAAACCCUGAUGCAGCAACGCCGCGUGAGUGAUGACGGCCUUCGGGUUGUAAAGCUCUGUCUUCAGGGACGAUAAUGACGGUACCUGAGGAGGAAGCCACGGCUAACUACGUGCCAGCCGCCGCGGUAA
rnacentral:rRNA from 1 species